AUACGAUUUACUUCCGGCCGCCAUAUAUUUAAGUACACAGAGCUCACGGUCGACGACACUGUUCCAUAUUUUAUCGAAAAUUUCAUAUAAACUAAUAAUUAACACUAAACAAAUUCAACAUCUUACUAUUUGUGUAGCUUGUCACAACUCACACGGUGGAUGAUAGCUCGUUCAAAUAUUUCAUUUUGCUUUUAGUGAUCCGCUGUAUUUCAUAUAGUUACCCGAAUUCUUACUGUCUACAUUACCUCGAGCAUCUGUAUCGGCCUCCGAGCGAAAAUUUCUCAAAAUUCAUCCUAAUCACUUGCUUGCGCCACUGUUUUAAAAUUUAUAUAAGAAUUCACCGUACUCGAAACAAUCUAAACGACGAUAUAAUGCAGGUCGUCCACAAGUUUAUCUAGUUAUCUAGUUUAUUUAUCUCCGCCUUUAUUUUAUGUAAUAAUAGGACGUAGGUAGCCUCCUCCAUAGCUUUCAUUCAAAUUGAGUUCACCUAUCUACUUGACGAUAUCUCAUUGUUUAACCUUCUCCCGACACGACAACCACAAUCCAUACAUACCAUCGAAAUCUAUCUCUCUAUCCUAUUUUUCGUGUUAUACAGAUGUCCCUCAGUGAUCUGAAAAAUGCAAUAACUUUUAUUUUGCACAAUAUUUUGAAGUUUGUUUUUAUUUUUGGUAGUAAUUAGGGCCUUGCCCUAUGGUUAAUAUAGUUUAGGUUCUGAAAGAAUCGAAGAAUUUAUUGGUUUUAUUAUGGUUUUGCUUAUUUUUUUUUUGCCGGUAAGCAACUUUUCUACCAGAAAUCAUGCUCCAAUCAAAAAAUGUAUUGAUACUUUCCUGUAGAAUUUUUUAUAUAGUUGG